rnacentral:rRNA from 1 species
AGAGUUUGAUCAUGGCUCAGAUUGAACGCUGGCGGCAGGCCUAACACAUGCAAGUCGAACGGUAACAGGAAGCAGCUUGCUUCUUUGCUGACGAGUGGCGGACGGGUGAGUAAUGUCUGGGAAACUGCCUGAUGGAGGGGGAUAACUACUGGAAACGGUAGCUAAUACCGCAUAACGUCGCAAGACCAAAGAGGGGGACCUUCGGGCCUCUUGCCAUCGGAUGUGCCCAGAUGGGAUUAGCUUGUUGGUGGGGUAACGGCUCACCAAGGCGACGAUCCCUAGCUGGUCUGAGAGGAUGACCAGCCACACUGGAACUGAGACACGGUCCAGACUCCUACGGGAGGCAGCAGUGGGGAAUAUUGCACAAUGGGCGCAAGCCUGAUGCAGCCAUGCCGCGUGUAUGAAGAAGGCCUUCGGGUUGUAAAGUACUUUCAGCGGGGAGGAAGGGAGUAAAGUUAAUACCUUUGCUCAUUGACGUUACCCGCAGAAGAAGCACCGGCUAACUCCGUGCCAGCAGCCGCGGUAAUACGGAGGGUGCAAGCGUUAAUCGGAAUUACUGGGCGUAAAGCGCACGCAGGCGGUUUGUUAAGUCAGAUGUGAAAUCCCCGGGCUCAACCUGGGAACUGCAUCUGAUACUGGCAAGCUUGAGUCUCGUAGAGGGGGGUAGAAUUCCAGGUGUAGCGGUGAAAUGCGUAGAGAUCUGGAGGAAUACCGGUGGCGAAGGCGGCCCCCUGGACGAAGACUGACGCUCAGGUGCGAAAGCGUGGGGAGCAAACAGGAUUAGAUACCCUGGUAGUCCACGCCGUAAACGAUGUCGACUUGGAGGUUGUGCCCUUGAGGCGUGGCUUCCGGAGCUAACGCGUUAAGUCGACCGCCUGGGGAGUACGGCCGCAAGGUUAAAACUCAAAUGAAUUGACGGGGGCCCGCACAAGCGGUGGAGCAUGUGGUUUAAUUCGAUGCAACGCGAAGAACCUUACCUGGUCUUGACAUCCACGGAAGUUUUCAGAGAUGAGAAUGUGCCUUCGGGAACCGUGAGACAGGUGCUGCAUGGCUGUCGUCAGCUCGUGUUGUGAAAUGUUGGGUUAAGUCCCGCAACGAGCGCAACCCUUAUCCUUUGUUGCCAGCGGUCCGGCCGGGAACUCAAAGGAGACUGCCAGUGAUAAACUGGAGGAAGGUGGGGAUGACGUCAAGUCAUCAUGGCCCUUACGACCAGGGCUACACACGUGCUACAAUGGCGCAUACAAAGAGAAGCGACCUCGCGAGAGCAAGCGGACCUCAUAAAGUGCGUCGUAGUCCGGAUUGGAGUCUGCAACUCGACUCCAUGAAGUCGGAAUCGCUAGUAAUCGUGGAUCAGAAUGCCACGGUGAAUACGUUCCCGGGCCUUGUACACACCGCCCGUCACACCAUGGGAGUGGGUUGCAAAAGAAGUAGGUAGCUUAACCUUCGGGAGGGCGCUUACCACUUUGUGAUUCAUGACUGGGGUGAAGUCGUAACAAGGUAACCGUAGGGGAACCUGCGGUUG